UUCAUGUUCUGGUUACAGAUGGAGAAAACUCCUCCAGAAUAGAAGAAGAUCCAGCGGGAGAAGUAACUGUUUCAAAGGAGUGUAGUUGAAAUGAAUUGUCUUGAUUCCAGAAAGUUGAGCCAUAUCUAACUUUAGUGCUGUACUUCAAGUUAAGCUACCAAUAGUUAUUCUAUUAAACCAAUAGGUGUUAGUUUCUAAUAAAGAGUUGACCUAACAGUGAACACUUCCACUUGUAUAUAUAUAUUGGUAAUUAAGCUUGACAAAUGAUGAGAAUCUAAUAAUAAUUUCAAAUUUAUAAAACACCACGAUCAACAAUUAAAAAAAUGAUAGUUGAUGGUAGUUUUGCGUUUCCUUUGUCGUAGAUUUGGUUUUGCAUAUAUUAAUGAGUGCUGCUCAUAAGCAGAAAGAUUUCCAGUAUAUAAAAAAACUCCAGUAUUAAUUUUCGUUUAUUCAGUGCCAGUAUUUGUGAAACAUUUCUUGAUUCAAAUAUCCUAAAUUAGUUUUCAGUUAUGUUGUUCAGGAUAUAUAGUGGAUUAUUUUCAACUGAUAUAUGAGUGUAUAUACUUAGAGAUGGAUAGUACUAUCAACAGAGAGAUGUUGAUGUCAAACAUCCUUUGUUGCUGUGUAUUAGCACAUUGUUAAAGUGGCUAUUUUUGUCACGUUAGUAGGGUUUGAUGACUCGAUUUGUUGGUUGUAUCAGCUGGAAGAAAAGUAAUUUGGCUCAGUUACAUUAACCAACUUUUGUUCUAAGUGUCGUUCAAAUCUUUAUAGCAUACUUUAGAACAACUUUACUGAAAAUGGUCACAAAUAUCCACUUUUCACCACCCCUCUGUGCACAAGUAGGCCUUAUGUCAUUGAAAGAUGAAAACUUGGUUAUUUGAAGUAUAUAUUUUGUAGAUUUAGUGUACACGAUUUAAAUUGCAUACAAUACUUAUUAAUAGAAGGAAACCAAACUUGCUAGUAAAUGUUGCUCAUUAUUUAGUUGUAACAUUUUGAACCAUGCUGACUGCCCUUGUUUUCUUCCUUAAUGACCAAAACAUUUGGUGCACACAUAUACCAUUCUAAUGUUUAUAAAGAACACUAAUAUCAAGAUAUUAUCCAGUAAUUAUUGGUUUACCAUAUAGUAUUUAUUGAUCUAAAUCAAAAGUUAACAUUAAUUCAGAUUCAAUGACGAGGAACCCACUUUGAGACUAAUAAUGGUUGGAGACGGCUUGAAUGGGUAAUGUACAACGUUUCGACAAGGUUUUGUCAUCAUCAGAUACAAGUAUUUUACACUGACAUGGAUAUAUUGUCAAAACGUUGUACAUUUGCUGUAUUUAGAAAUGAAAACAUGAAGCUUGAAAUGGUUGAGUUUACAUGUCAAUUUUAGUUAUAAAACAUUAAAUAAAAAUUGAUCUAUAGUAUAAUGGUUUUGAAUGUUGUUUCUUAUGAAGCAUCGUUUACCUAACUUCCAAUGAACUUAAGUGACACUUUAAUGAAAAAUAGGACUUUCUUUAUCUACUGAAACAAUACGUUUAUGUUUUCACCUCUGUCAAUGAAAUAUGAUCAUAAUGGAAGGCAGUGAUGGUCUUGAAAUGUCUGGUUAAAGGAUGACAUACAGAGCUGUUGUCAAACAUCGGUCUUAUAAGUUAGAAAACAACAAAAUACAAGUAUAAGUGUAACAUUAACAAAACCAAAGUUUUCUGAACAGUGUUGUUUGUUGCACAAACUUGUUGAGUAUAGGUACUCUUUGAUUGUUUUGGCAAGUUUCUUUUGUCGUCAUUCCACACAUUGAUACAAGCUAGUCAAAAAUCAUGUUAAAUAGGCCCAACUGAACUUAUGUCUGGGAUAUUUCAACCUGCAGGGGAAAUUUUAAAACACGUGUGGAAGUGUAAAAACUUAAUUCAAAAUGUAUUUUUAUCACACAAAAAAUAUAAAGUUCUUUCAAAUAUUUAUUUAAUUAUGACUGUGAAAUGAUAGUUUUCUUUUUGAAGUGUACUUUGUUCUCAGAAGUUUAUCCUUUAAAGAUACCAGUACAUAUCACAGCAUUUCAUUCAUUCCACUAUUGAUUAUUAGAACCUUUUGUUUGUCACUCCCUGGUACUAAGUAGUGACAUCAGUUGUGACUGUUUUAAGAUGGUUGUGUUUGUCACUUCCUGGUACUAAGUAGUGACAUCAGUUGUGACUGUUUUAAGCUGGUUGUGUUUUUCACUUCCUGGUACUAAGUAGUGACAUCAGUUGUGACUGUUUUAAGCUGGUUGUGUUUUUCACUUCCUAGUACUAAGUAGUGACAUCAGUUGUGACUGUUUUAAGCUGGUUGUGUUUUUCACUCCCUGGUACUAAGUAGUGACAUAGUUGUGACUGUUUUAAGAUGGUUGUGUUUUCACUUCCUAGUACUAAGUAGUGACAUCAGUUGUGACUGUUUUAAGCUGUUAUGUUUUUCACUUCCUAGUACUAAGUAGUGACAAUAGUUGUGACUGUUUUAAGAUGGUUGUGUUUGUCACUCCCUGAUAUUAAGUAGUGACAUUAGUUGUGACUGUUUUAAGCUGGUUGUGUUUUCCACUCCCUGGUACUAAGUAGUGACAUCAGUUGUGACUGUUUUAAGCUGGUUGUGUUUUUCACUUCCUGGUACUAAGUAGUGACAUCAGUUGUGACUGUUUUAAGCUGGUUGUGUUUUUCACUUCCUGGUACUAAGUAGUGACAUCAGUUGUGACUGUUUUAAGCUGGUUUCAGUGUAUUUGAGAUCAGCAAGUUACUGACAAGGAUCUGCCUACAUUUAUAUCAGUGUAUUUGAGAUCAGCAAGUUACUGACAAGGAUCUGCAUACAUUUAUAUCAGUGUAUUUGAGAUCAGCAAGUUACUGACAAGGAUCUGCAUACAUUUAUAUCAGUGUAUUUGAGAUCAGCAAGUUACUGAUAAGGAUCUGCAUACACUUAUAUCAGUGUAUUUGAGAUCAGCAAGUUACUGACAAGGAUCUGCGUACAUUUAUAUCAGUGUAUUUGAGAUCAACAAGCAGCCAAAUCAUAGCUUGUGUAGAAUAUAAUGUACCAUUUCACAAUGACCAGUGACAAUAUGUUACAUCUUUCUGCAUGUCUACAGCAACACAUAGAUUGGAGAGACCAUUCUCAAAACUUUUAUGUUUACCUUGAUAGUACAUCUAUCCCAAGUCCUCGGUCUUUAUCUUGACUCUAAAGUGUUAGUAACGUCCUGUACAGUCUAGAUGGAAUGUUUCCCAACUGUGUCUGGCAGAUUGGAUAAGACAUAAAAUCCAUAUUUGCUGUAAAUUAUUUCUUUGUGACCUGUCAACAGCCACUGGUGGGUUAGUUCUAAGGUCACAGCUUAAUGUAUUACGAUAUUGCUUUCAGACAAUAAACGUUACAUUUGUUUUAAUAAUUUUCUAUGUCUAAUUUAUCUGUUUUCAAAAUAAAUCUUAGUAACUUCUUGAUCUCUAAUUUACUGUAUCAGCUAUCUGUAUGUAACUAGAUUUCAACAAUUGACGUACUGGGUAGUAACAAAUGUUCUGCUGAAUUAAUCAGUUCAUAGCCACAGAAAUCAUUUUUUGUUAGUACAUUGAAAUUGUCACCACUGGUGUAAUUGUUCAUACAUUGUACAGAUAGACUAUGUGGACUUUAUUAAAAAGUUCUCAGUUUUAAUAAAUUGUUUAAUUCUUGUCUUUAGAUUGUAUAUUUUAAUCAACCAGUUUUCUGUAAAAGUAAAAACUAGUACUGUAAACUAUGAAAGUUCUUAAAAUAAACUUCUAUAAAAGUUGUCA